rnacentral:rRNA from 1 species
GCAGGCGCGAAAACUUUACAAUGCGGGCAACCGUGAUAAGGGAACCUCGAGUGCCUGUAUACGCAGGCUGUCCAGGUGCCUAAAACACACCUGAAGAAAGGGCCGGGCAAGACCGGUGCCAGCCGCCGCGGUAAUACCGGCGGCUCGAGUGGUGGCCGCUUUUAUUGGGCUUAAAGCGUUCGUAGCUGGUUUGUUAAGUCCCUUGGGAAAUCUGGCGGCUUAACCGUCAGGCGUCUAAGGGAUACUGGCAAUCUUGGAACCGGGAGAGGUGAGGGGUACUUCGGGGGUAGGAGUGAAAUCCUGUAAUCCUCGAGGGACCACCUGUGGCGAAGGCGCCUCACCAGAACGGCUUCGACAGUGGGGGACGAAAGCUGGGGGAGCAAACCGGAUUAGAUACCCGGGUAGUCCCAGCCGUAAACGAUGUGCGUUAGGUGUAUCGACGACCACGAGUCGUCGAGGUGCCGAAGGGAAACCGUGAAACGUACCGCCUGGGAAGUACGGUCGCAAGGCUGAAACUUAAAGGAAUUGGCGGGGGAGCACCACAACAGGUGGAGCCUGCGGUUUAAUUGGACUCAACGCCGGAAAUCUCACCGGAUAGGAC